AAGCUAUUUACCUGCUGAACUCCAGAGAGUUAACAGUCAUGCUACCAACUCCCUCAUACUUUGUGCAAGUUAAGUGAGGUCAGAUUCUGACUGGUAAAUAACAAAGUAAUGAAGGCUGGGGAAAAGAGGUAACUGACACAGUACUGCAAAGAUCUGGAGCUUGUCAGUAUCAGAAGCACUGUAUAUAAAUCCUUGGAAAGGAAGACACCAUCUAAACAGCUGUUUUGGAUGUAUGAAUAGGAAACACAAAAGGAAAUCACAUUUUCCCCAAAUGCAAAUAACACAUUCACUUGCCUAAUAUAUAUUCUCUGAAAUAUAAUGACAACAUAAUUGCAGAAACAGAGGUCAACAGUUUAUUUAACCUCAUUUGUUUUCUUUUGUUUUGGAGCAAGCACUCAGUAAGCUAUGAAGAAUAGUUUACUUGGGUUUAUUGCUUGUAGGUUAAAACUGAAUUAUCCCCUAAGGACUGAGCAAAACUUUUCAUACUGAUCCCUUUAGCAGUCUCCUCAGCUUGUUUAUUAAUGGUGAUUGCAACUGUUCAACUCGAUCUGUUAGAUUUUACGAAAUAAAAAGAUGCAA